rnacentral:rRNA from 1 species
UUGUUGGUAAGGUAAAAGCUUACCAAGGCUUCGAUCAGUAGCUGGUCUGAGAGGACGACCAGCCACACUGGGACUGAGACACGGCCCAGACUCCUACGGGAGGCAGCAGUGGGGAAUUUUGGACAAUGGGGGCAACCCUGAUCCAGCCAUGCCGCGUGAGUGAAGAAGGCCUUCGGGUUGUAAAGCUCUUUCAGCCGGAACGAAACGGUUACGGUUAAUACCCGUGACUACUGACGGUACCGGAAGAAGAAGCACCGGCUAACUACGUGCCAGCAGCCGCGGUAAUACGUAGGGUGCGAGCGUUAAUCGGAAUUACUGGGCGUAAAGCGUGCGCAGGUGGUUUUGUAAGUCAGAUGUGAAAGCCCCGGGCUCAACCUGGGAACUGCGUUUGAAACUGCAAGACUAGAGUGUGGCAGAGGGGGGUGGAAUUCCGCGUGUAGCAGUGAAAUGCGUAGAGAUGUGGAGGAACACCGAUGGCGAAGGCAGCCCCCUGGGUCAACACUGACGCUCAGGCACGAAAGCAUGGGGAGCAAACAGGAUUAGAUACCCUGGUAGUCCAUGCCCUAAACGAUGUCAACUAGUUGUCGGGCCUUUACGGGCUUGGUAACGUAGCUAACGCGUGAAGUUGACCGCCUGGGGAGUACGAUCGCAAGAUUAAAACUCAAAUGAAUUGACGGGGACCCGCACAAGCGGUGGAUUAUGUGGAUUAAUUCGAUGCAACGCGAAAAACCUUACCUACCCUUGACAUGUAUCGAAGCCCGCAGAAAAGCGGGGGUGCCCGAAAGGGAACGAUAACACAGGUGCUGCAUGGCUGUCGUCAGCUCGUGUCGUGAGAUGUUGGGUUAAGUCCCGCAACGAGCGCAACCCUUGUCAUUAAUUGCCAUCAUUUAGUUGGGCACUUUAAUGAGACUGCCGG